rnacentral:rRNA from 1 species
UCGUCUCAAAGAUUAAGCCAUGCAUGUGUAAGUAUAAAUAAUUUUACUUUGAAACUGCGAAUGGCUCAUUAUAUCAGUUAUAGUUUAUUAGAAAUAUUUUACUACUUGGAUAACCGUAGUAAUUCUAGGGCUAAUACAUGAGUAAAACCUCAACUUCGGAAGAGGUGUGUUUAUUAGUAUGAAAACCAUAUAUCUUCGGAUAUAAUAGUGAGUAAUAAUAACCUUUCAUAUCGUAUGUCGUAAGAUAACGAUAGUUCUUUCAAGUUUCUGCCCUAUCAGCUUUCGAUGGUAGUAUAUGGGACUACCAUGGCAGUAACGGGUAACGAAGAAUUUGGGUUCGAUUUCGGAGAGGGAGCCUGAGAGAUGGCUACCACAUCCAAGGAAGGCAGCAGGCGCGUAAAUUACCCAAUCCUGACAUAGGGAGGUAGUGACAAUAAAUCACAAUGCGGAACUUUUAG